rnacentral:tRNA from 1 species
AGGGGUGUAGCUCAGCCCGGCCAGAGCGGCGGUCUCCAAAACCGUAGGUCGCGGGUUCGAAUCCUGCCGCCCCUGC